GGGGGAUAUUGCGCAAUGGGGGCAACCCUGACGCAGCAACGCCGCGUGAAGGAUGAAGGUUUUCGGAUUGUAAACUUCUUUUAUUAAGGACGAAAAAUGACGGUACUUAAUGAAUAAGCUCCGGCUAACUACGUGCCAGCAGCCGCGGUAAUACGUAGGGAGCAAGCGUUGUCCGGAUUUACUGGGUGUAAAGGGUGCGUAGGCGGCUUUGCAAGUCAGAUGUGAAAUCUAUGGGCUCAACCCAUAAACUGCAUUUGAAACUGUAGAGCUUGAGUGAAGUAGAGGCAGGCGGAAUUCCCCGUGUAGCGGUGAAAUGCGUAGAGAUGGGGAGGAACACCAGUGGCGAAGGCGGCCUGCUGGGCUUUAACUGACGCUGAGGCACGAAAGCGUGGGUAGCAAACAGGAUUAGAUACCCUGGUAGUCCACGCUGUAAACGAUGAUUACUAGGUGUGGGGGGUCUGACCCCUUCCGUGCCGGAGUUAACACAAUAAGUAAUCCACCUGGGGAGUACGGCCGCAAGGUUGAAACUCAAAGGAAUUGACGGGGGCCCGCACAAGCAGUGGAGUAUGUGGUUUAAUUCGAAGCAACGCGAAGAACCUUACCAAGUCUUGACAUCCAACUAACGAAGUAGAGAUACAUUAGGUGCCCUUCGGGGAAAGUUGAGACAGGUGGUGCAUGGUUGUCGUCAGCUCGUGUCGCGAGAUGUUGGGUUAAGUCCCGCAACGAGCGCAACCCUUGCUAUUAGUUGCUACGCAAGAGCACUCUAAUAGGACUGCCGUUGACAAAACGGAGGAAGGUGGGGACGACGUCAAAUCAUCAUGCCCCUUAUGACCUGGGCUACACACGUACUACAAUGGAUGUUAACAGAGGGAAGCAAGACAGCGAUGUGGAGCAAACCCCUAAAAACAUUCUCAGUUCAGAUUGCAGGCUGCAACCCGCCUGCAUGAAGAUGGAAUUGCUAGUAAUCGCGGAUCAGCAUGCCGCGGUGAAUACGUUCCCG
rnacentral:rRNA from 1 species